GGGCGAGGCGCUGGCGCGGCAGGGAGGGUGGCGGUUGGAGACGGUUACGGGGGGAUCCCCCACCCGCAGCCCCUCCCCCACAGGGGGGGAAGGGCCGGCGUGGUUUGUGCAGAAGCUCAAUUUCUGGUGGCACGCACGUGGCGCCCUCGCAAGCUUGCCCACUCUUCCCCGGUAUUGGCAGGGAGGCACGUGCCCGGGACCUGGUGGAUUUUGGCUUGAACCCUUUGUAACCGCUGUACUCGCUCAUCUUGACGGGAUUUGAGAAAUAAGGGAUGUUACCAUUGCUUUAGUCUUGCUUCUUGUUGAAAUUACCCAGUUUGAAUUAAAUACCUGAACAGGACUUUACGUGUCAAAAUACAAGUAUUAAGAUAGAAAUAAAAAUUACAAGAUUUCUCUUGGUUUUGUUGAAAGCUAAUCUGGCCCAUUAUCUUUUCAUUAAGGACGGCUUGAAUUCGAGAGAUUAAUAUCUAAUCCACAUACAUGUUUUCAAACAGUGUGCUUUUAGGUAUUCCACCUAAGUCACAAAUACUCUAAAGCAGCUACUAGAAUCUGUAAUGUGUUUAGUGUUGUGUUUAAACCUAUUUGCAACAAAUUCUUGGCAAAAGGGCUAAACCCCAUGUAAGAAAAACAGUGAUGUACCUCCCUGGCUUCAGAUCCCCCUUUCCCAAUGUAAUUUUUUGUCAUGGCUGGCUCUUUUGGUGGUUUUGCAAACUUGCUAAGCUGCCUGUAAAAGGAGUGGGGUUUUUUCAUUCAUGGACUUGUGCUGCUGCUGCGUCUGCGCUGACAUCAGUGUGGCUGUGUGAUGUGCCGGCAGGAAAAUCAAGCAAGCAUCUGGAAUGGUUCCUCAGUCUGGUUGGUUGCACGGGGAUGGGAAUAACUGCUGUGACCCAGUAGGGCCUCCCGUGGUAGUGGGAACAAACAGGGAGGAAAGCGGUUGGAUCUGUUUGCGUAAACCAGUUUAUGCAGUGACACUGGCUGUGCUGCCAGUAAAGCAUUUGUGAAACUAACCUGAGCUCAUAAAUCUAGCAAGGUUCUGCUAACUUUUUUCAUAUGUGCUCAGUUAUUUCCCAGCCAAGCAGAAACAAAGUGGUCUUGUAUAAUUAUUUUCUCAUCCAUAGUUCUCCAGAAGGGCCUGCGUUACAAAUGGAGAGCCUCUGUGCUGUAAUUACGCUGGUGUAAAGGUUGUGUUGUUUAGGGUGUACACAUACAUGGGUAUAAGUAUGUUUUACUGUGCAGGUAUUUAUUAACGGUAUUUUUAAUUUCUCAGUUUCCCUAGUGAAAGUGCAGCCAUUAGAAUAGAGCCCAUGUAGUGGUUUGUAUUGGCACCAGACAGCAAUUACUCUCUGUACUUCUCACUUUAAGCAGAUGAUUUGAGAAAAUUUUGAAUGUAAUUCUCAAAGAUUUUGUGGUUUGAAGGGACAUAAAACUCAAACUGACUGUAUUUCAUGAUUGAGUCUGAUGGACUUGAUGUUAUCAAAGUUGUAUGGAUGCCUUAAUUCCCUGUAAAUCAGAUUUUUCUUGAUUCUAAUGAAAUCUAGGCAAGGAAUUCAUGCUGUAGAAUUAUUUGGGGCAUAAGUUGUCUAUAAGGUUAAUUUUGUCAAAUACACCAUUCACAAUUAUUUGAAUAUUUUCUCAUUCUUCAAGAACAGCUUGCUUAUGAACAUUUUUUUCAAACAUUUAUAGUUCUAAGUGCUUUGAUGGUGCAUUUAGUUUGAUAUAUGUUUCAUCUCCGUGUGUGUGGUUGCAGCUGUUAUUACCAGAUGCAUGUUUGUUGAGUAUAUAGUUUAUUUUCCAUUCAAAGUAUCCAAUAGCUGCUCAAAUUAACUUUUGAUCAUACUUGCCAACAAGCUUAAUCACUGGAAUUUUGUGAAAAAAUGAACCCCUGCAAAACGUAGAAUGUAAAGCAAACUAUUUUAAAAAUAUGAAUGAUUGUACAUGGACUUUGUGAAAAAAUUUACAUGUAAAAACCAAAACACUUGCAUUGGUUGUAUGUUGAAGUAUGAGAAUUUACUAUUUUUUGUGAUGCAGGUAUUACACUAUAGGGCCAAGCUGUGUACUGUGCAUAGUUUAGCUUUUUUAAUGCUAACAUUUGUUUCAUUUUCAGUAUAAAAAUAUUUGGAAUAAAUAAUAUCCUGGAGCUAGCCUGCCUUUUUCAGCCUUUUUUUAUGUAUAGAACCCUACAAAUUUUUCACUGAAGGUUUGGACCUUAUGUCAUUAAUUUUAAACUAGUGACAUCAGAUUAUUUUCUUUUAGAGGGCCUUAGAAGUUCUAUCUCAGAUACCCUUAGGGAUUCCUUUAUUAGCAGCUGAGAGUUUUGCAGAGAAAAGCUUGGUUUUGGGGAAGAAAAGAGAUUAAAGAAAGAAGAAUGCAUCUCAAGGAGGAACGUCAUGCAGUCUAAUUUUGCUUCAUUUCAGUGGGGGAACCUUGACUAGGUACAGAUGCUAAAUUUUUUCAUCUUGGUAAAUUUUCUUUGAGUCCUGUGUCUGUAUAGAGGUCCAUUCUGCACUUCGAUAGCUUUAGGAGUAUCUGCUGCUGCUGCAUCUCCUCCCCUGAGGCAGCGUGGCUUUUCAAACUAAGUUUCUCCUGUAGUUGCUGCAACAACAGAAACGUAAUACCUGAGGGCAUUACGUCUUGCUUGUUUCCCACCAAAAGCUCUGGAAUCACUAUUGCCAAGGACAUAUUGCAGAGGGAGAUAAUUAAUCUAAGAAACUGCAUCCUCUCUCAGUUGGCCCUGAAAAUCUUAUCAGUGGAGCAAAUGCUGAUGCUGCAGGACAUACUACGGCUGUUACCCUGUUCCUUCAGAUACCAGCUUCUAUCCCAGAGCUUCUGAGAAGUGAAGCAGUGCUACUUGUGAUCGCAGGAAACACUUGAAUGAACCGGUUCCUUUCAGCCGCUGUUGAACGCAGCAAAUGUUUCUGGAAACACUAGAGGUCUAGCUUUGUCGAUUCCAAGUACUCUGCCAAAACACAGGUAACUUAGUGACUUGCCAAAAUACAGACACAGAAUUUUCUACCAGUUUCUCACUGAUGACAGCUGUGCAUGGAAAAGGGUGCGUGGAUUUUUAUUUUUUUUCUAAUAUGUUCAUAUGAAACAGCCCAUAACGAAUGCUACGAGGUAAGAAGAAAUCAUACUUUAUCUAGUUUAAACCUGCCACUUACCUUGUCACAAAAGUAUGGAUGCUUACCAGUAAUCAGGGAGACAACCAAGCAGUAAGAGGCACAGUGAGAAUAUUACAAAAAUCACGGUGUUUAUCCGUAACUGGUAUGGAGCAAGGUAGACAGACAAGACUGAAGAUUUAAAUUUCUUACCAGGAAAAUAACUAUAAUCUAGUAUAAUGUAAAACUAUCUUCGUUCCUGCUAUUACAGUUUCUGAGUGCCAAGUCUGGAGAUGUUUUUUAACUGUCACCGUCAUUCUUCUGCAAAUAGAUAGUUAAUCUAGUUAAUAUUUUCCACUCAGAAUCCACAUGCCUAACAGAUUGGACAGUUUCAUAUAAAUGCCGCUGGACAACAACAAGCUGGAUAGUAAUAUUACCCCUAAGAACUGCUAAGUAGUAGUAAAUACAUACCUACUUAAAAGGUGAUAGUUCCACAGGUCGGACAAUGAUUCAGAGAAAACUACGCUACAGGUAUUGAGGUGUGUACUCUCUAAGUGGGCAGACAGUCAUGGCACUAUGAUUAUUAUUUAAAAGAAUAAAGUGUCUUCACUGGCAACUAGUAAGCCAUUUAUGGGUGCUUUAAAAAACACGUUGAUGGAAUGCUGCAGGAGCAACUGAAAUACAAAGUCUGUCACAGUGCAGCAGAUAGGGUGCAAUUUCAUGUUAUCAGUUUUCACAGCUCUGAUUAACUUCAGCUGGAGUUUGGUGUCUGAGUCUUCUAAAAAUAAAAUCCUGAGUAUUCUGAUUACAGUGGAAGUGUGUAAGACAAUUUUAAAAAGUGGCUUUGAUUUCCUCGUUACAACUGUGUACAUCAUCCUGGCUCUUUAUUUUAGACAAACUGUGUGUAAAGGAAUUUGGGAAAAAGCAAAUGGAAAGAUGGAUGAUUCGGUAAGCCUAUUCUGUAAUACUGUCCAUAUGCUAACUCCAACGAAGGAAGAGCAAAGAAAAACGAACUGUCUUGUGCUUGUUAUAAAAAAAAAAAUAAGGCUCAUGCUGUUGUUCCUGUUUAGCAAAGUUUAUUUUCAGAAGAAUAAAUGAAAUGACAGUGUGAAAUUUUGCAUUAGUACAAUAAUUAUGAUUAUCGUCCUGUUUUCCUGUAAAUGUGGCUUUAGGGAUCAAGUUUCUUGGCACAAAGCACUGUGACUGCAGCCUCAUUUCUCUAGAAGGUUUAUAUAAGUGAAUCAGAGAGAGCAACAGAGAGCUAUUAGUGCUGUGGUAUAUUUUAAAAGUCGUCUCGAUGCUUUAGUUCCUUAGUAUCAGUCAGACAGUUUGGCCUCAAACAACAAUCUUCCAGGGUUAGAGAUUACACAGAGAAGAACAGCAAUUUUCAGAGUGGCAGCAAGUGCAUUUGUGUUUGUGCAUUGCUAAGAUGCUGGGAAAAUGUGGUGUAUGUUGAGCAGAUUAUUUUUCUUUUCAGAAGAUUGUAUCAGAAUGUUAGACGUGAUUUGUUGUAAGUUCUCAUCAUGUGAAAAAUAAAAACGUUAGGAAGUAAACCUAUUGGCUUGCUGAAAAA